AGAGUUUGAUCCUGGCUCAGGAUGAACGCUAGCGGCAGGCUAACACAUGCAAGUCGUACGGUAACAGGGAAAAGCUUGCUUUUCCGCUGACGAGUGGCGCACGGGUGCCAACGCGUAUAGAACCUACCCUAUACAGGGGGAUAGCCCAUGGAAACGUGGAUUAAUACCCCGUGGAGACCAGAAGUGGCAUCACUUUUUGUUUAAAGUUUCGGCGGUACGGGAUGGCUAUGCGUCCCAUUAGUUAGUAGGCGAGGUAACGGCUCACCUAGGCAAUGAUGGGUAGGGGCCCUGAGAGGGGGAUCCCCCACACUGGUACUGAGACACGGACCAGACUCCUACGGGAGGCAGCAGUGAGGAAUAUUGGACAAUGGGCGCAAGCCUGAUCCAGCCAUGCCGCGUGCAGGAAGACAGCCUACGGGUUGUAAACUGCUUUUAUACGGGAAGAAUAAGGGGUACGUGUACCCCGAUGACGGUACCGUAAGAAUAAGGACCGGCUACUCCGUGCCAGCAGCCGCGGUAAUACGGAGGGUCCGAGCGUUAUCCGGAAUCAUUGGGUUUAAAGGGUCCGCAGGCGGGCAAUUAAGUCAGGGGUGAAAUGGUGCGGCUCAACCGUAGCACUGCCCUUGAUACUGGUUGUCUUGAGUUAUGGUGAAGUGGCCGGAAUAUGUAGUGUAGCGGUGAAAUGCAUAGAUAUUACAUAGAACACCGAUCGCGAAGGCAGGUCACUAACCACCAACUGACGCUGAUGGACGAAAGCGUGGGGAGCGAACGGGAUUAGAUACCCUAGUAGUCC
rnacentral:rRNA from 1 species